UACGAAGGGUGCAAGCGUUACUCGGAAUUACUGGGCGUAAAGCGUGCGUAGGUGGUGAGUUAAGUCUGUCGUGAAAGCCCCGGGCUCAACCUGGGAAUGGCGAUGGAUACUGGCUCGCUAGAGUGCGGUAGAGGAGAGUGGAAUUCCCGGUGUAGCAGUGAAAUGCGUAGAGAUCGGGAGGAACAUCAGUUGCGAAGGCGGCAUCCUGGACCAACACUGACGCUGAGUGAGCGAAAGCCAGGGGAGCAAACGGG
rnacentral:rRNA from 1 species